CUUGAACGCUGGCGGCAGGCUUAACACAUGCAAGUCGAGCGGGGUGAUGGUGCUUGCACUAUCACUUAGCGGCGGACGGGUGAGUAAUGCUUAGGAAUCUGCCUAUUAGUGGGGGACAACAUCUCGAAAGGGAUGCUAAUACCGCAUACGUCCUACGGGAGAAAGCAGGGGAUCACUUGUGACCUUGCGCUAAUAGAUGAGCCUAAGUCGGAUUAGCUAGUUGGUGGGGUAAAAGCCUACCAAGGCGACGAUCUGUAGCGGGUCUGAGAGGAUGAUCCGCCACACUGGGACUGAGACACGGCCCAGACUCCUACGGGAGGCAGCAGUGGGGAAUAUUGGACAAUGGGGGGAACCCUGAUCCAGCCAUGCCGCGUGUGUGAAGAAGGCCUUAUGGUUGUAAAGCACUUUAAGCGAGGAGGAGGCUCUUUUGGUUAAUACCCAAGAUGAGUGGACGUUACUCGCAGAAUAAGCACCGGCUAACUCUGUGCCAGCAGCCGCAGUAA
rnacentral:rRNA from 1 species